AGUGGAAACUAACAGGAGUGAGGACUGUGAAGCUCUGUGAGCUGGGAGCAGCCCUGGCUCCUGUGCAUUCUCCUGGCCCUACAGAAAUCUUUUUCUGGCUCAACAGUCCUGUCCAAGGUGAAGCACUUCCUCUCCCAGCCCAGGCGAGUCUCCGACAGUGCACAGCGCAGAUUUGCGAUAAUUAGCACAAGCACUAAGCUAGAAGACAAAUCCCCAGCGGUCUCAGAGAGGAUGAUUAAGAGCAACAUUGUUGUGCUAUCUAUAUGAGGCUUUGAAGUCAGAAGAAUGAGAAAUCCAGAUUCGUGCCACAAAUAAUCCUGUAAUCCUAUGUGCAGGCUUCAUAAUCCUUUUCUUCCUCUGCACUUUUAGGCAUUUUAUAGAAACUGAAGCACGGAAGUAAGAUUUUGGCAUGGCGAUUUACACAUUAAAUGCAGUUACAAACAACUGAGUGACCAGGCUUCACUCAUGCAGAUAUAAUGACGAAGCCAGUAAAUAACAUGCAAUUUAAUUGUAUUUCUGACACACUUGACAUGUUAUGCGUCAUAAUAAUUUUUGGUCUAGAAACUCUUUUCUCUCUUUUGUAGAAAGUGGCUGAAUGGGUCAUUUGGAUUUAAUAUGUUUUUAUUAGAGAAUGAAGAUCAUCCCCCUAUCAUUGGGAGAAAUAUAUUUAAAUUUCAGUAAAGACAUGAGAGGAAGUGAUGCUGGGAAAGGAAGACGUCCUUACUGAACAAUCAAAGACAAACCGACUGCCAGACCAAAGCAGCACACAGACGAGGAGAGAUCAGCAGCACUGUCAAAAGAAGCCCUCUGCAAAUUAAAACUUAGUGGGAAGCAGCUUUUAGGCAUGUGGAAAGAGCCAGGAACUAAGGUGAACCUUUGAUUUGUGCAGUCUGUGACAUUCCUUGGAAACCUGCUGAAGAAGCCAGGAAGAAAUCUUGGCAGCACUGUGAUGAUGACAUCAUAAAAAUGUUUCUCAAAAGUA